rnacentral:rRNA from 1 species
CCUACGGGUGGCAGCAGUGGGGGAUAUUGCACAAUGGGGGAAACCCUGAUGCAGCGACGCCGCGUGGGUGAAGAAGUAUUUCGGUAUGUAAAGCCCUAUCAGCAGGGAAGAAAGAAGACGGUACCUGACUAAGAAGCCCCGGCUAACUACGUGCCAGCAGCCGCGGUAAUACGUAGGGGGCGAGCGUUAUCCGGAUUCACUGGGUGUAAAGGGAGCGUAGACGGCCGUGCAAGCCAGGAGUGAAAGCCCGGGGCCCAACCCCGGGACUGCUCUUGGAACUGUGCGGCUGGAGUGCGGGAGGGGCAGGCAGAAUUCCUGGUGUAGCGGUGAAAUGCGUAGAUAUCAGGAGGAACACCGGCGGCGAAGGCGGCCUGCUGGACCGCGACUGACGUUGAGGCUCGAAAGCGUGGGGAGCGAACAGGAUUAGAUACCCGAGUAGUC